rnacentral:rRNA from 1 species
ACCAAAUAGAUACCCGGGUAGUCCACGCCCUAAACGAUGCGAACUGGAUGUUGGGUACAUUACGGUACUCAGUGUCGAAAGCUAAACGCGUUAAGUUCGCCGCCUGGGGAGUACGGUCGCAAGACUGAAACUCAAAGGAAUUGACGGGGGCCCGGCACAAGCGGUGGAGUAUGUGGUUUAAUUACGAUGCAACGCGAAGAACCUUACCUGGCCUUGACAUCUGUCGAAUCCUGCAGAGAUGCGGGAGGUGCCGCAAGGAACGACAAGACAGGUGCUGCAUGGCUGUCGUCAGCUCGUGUCGUGAGAUGUUGGGUUAAGUCCCGCAACGAGCGCAACCCUUGUCCCUACGUUGCCAGCACGUAAUGGUGGGAACUCUAGGGAGACUGCCGGUGACAAACCGGAGGAAGGUGGGGAUGACGUCAAGUCCUCAUGGCCCGUUA